CACACCAUUGCUGCAUCAUGUGGAUCAGCGCCUGCAUGCCUCACAUGGCCCCAUCCGAAUAUGUCUAUUCCAGUUUUCUGUGCGUCAUACGGAACAAAUACAAUCACAUCGUAUCUGGCGCCUACCUACGCCCCACCUAGCGUGUACUCGCCUACGCCCUCGUCCACUACCCCGUGACCCAGCUGCCCCAUCCACCCAAGCGGGACACAAUUCAAAAUUUGAAUCCCCUCACGCAGCUGCAGCCUCAUCGCCAUGAACAACCGCGCCCCCUGUUCCUGCGCCUGGAUCUGAUGAUUUCUUCAUGAUUCACCUAUGAAUCUCGGUGCGGAAUAAUUAUCGGAUCUCCUGUUCAGCUUCUGUUCCCAAGCCCCAGCCGGUCGCAACCGAGGGCGUCCCAAAUCUGGGAUUGCUAAAGGAGGAGGACGACGACCAGUGCAUUCAUCCUAAUUCCCAGAGCGAUUCUCCAUACUCCAGCCAAGAUGGAGAGAAAUAUGGUGCUACUAAUACAGGAUCUCAAGUUCAUGAGGCCACGCCAGAUUUUUUCAAUGUCCCAGAUAUUGACAACAAUGACAUUCACAGAGAGCCCCCAUCUGAAUCGCAACACACUCCAGCUCUGUGGCCUCAAAGGAUCCGACAGAAGCGACAAGGCGGCGAUUCUGAUCAGCUCUAUCUCCAGCAAUCGGUUACAGACAUGUGGGUGCCUAUUCCUUGGUGCCAUAUGCAAAUUGGGCAACUCGUCCUUCAGACCUUCCGUUGUUCAUGUACGAGCAGCAUUAUAUGCCCAGCUGGCUCUCCCUACUUUUUUUUCCUUUUGCAGAGCGGUGGAAGGUAGGUGAAGCAAAAUGUAAGACAUUUUUUGAUACUACAUUUUAAGACAGAGAGAGUAAUAAGUAAAACCGGCCCCUAUGUCUUACGGGAGCAAUCUUCUUGAAACACAGAAGCUUAUAGAUGCAAUAGUUAGGAAGACAUCGACAACUGCAAAUUGGAUAGAUCACCGUCCCAGAGAAGCCGUCACCGAGAAGAGCCACACAAGAUAAUCCCAACUUUGGCGGGAUCAAAAAUGAGGCCACAAACCUCACAAGUUUUUCAACAGAACCGUAUUUGGCUACAGCUAGCUAUACAUAAGUCGCCUGAUUUUUAAAUUUGGGUAAGUCCUUUAUUUUUCUUGUGCUGUUGUAUGACUUUUUUUUUUGCGGGUGGCUGUUGUAUGACUUCUUAGGUUGAUUUUUGACUUCCCCCUGUUUAGGCAAGUCG